rnacentral:rRNA from 1 species
GGGUGAGUAACGCGUGGGUAACCUGCCUCAUACAGGGGGAUAACGAUUGGAAACGAUUGCUAAUACCGCAUAAGCGCACAGUACCACAUGGUACAGUGUGAAAAACUCCGGUGGUAUGAGAUGGACCCGCGUCUGAUUAGCUAGUUGGUGAGGUAACGGCCCACCAAGGCAACGAUCAGUAGCCGACCUGAGAGGGUGACCGGCCACAUUGGGACUGAGACACGGCCCAGACUCCUACGGGAGGCAGCAGUGGGGGAUAUUGCACAAUGGAGGAAACUCUGAUGCAGCGACGUCGCGUGAGUGAAGAAGUAUUUCGGUAUGUAAAGCUCUAUCAGCAGGGAAGAAAAUGACGGUACCUGACUAAGAAGCCCCGGCUAACUACGUGCCAGCAGCCGCGGUAAUACGUAGGGGGCAAGCGUUAUCCGGAUUUACUGGGUGUAAAGGGAGCGUAGACGGCGAUGCAAGUCUGAAGUGAAAUACCCGGGCUCAACCUGGGAACUGCUUUGGAAACUGUAUGGCUAGAGUGCUGGAGAGGUAAGCGGAAUUCCUAGUGUAGCGGUGAAAUGCGUAGAUAUUAGGAAGAACACCAGUGGCGAAGGCGGCUUACUGGACAGUAACUGACGUUCAGGCUCGAAAGC